rnacentral:rRNA from 1 species
GACGAACGCUGGCGGCGUGCUUAACACAUGCAAGUCGAACGGAAAGGCCCUGCUUUUGUGGGGUGCUCGAGUGGCGAACGGGUGAGUAACACGUGAGUAACCUGCCCUUGACUUUGGGAUAACUUCAGGAAACUGGGGCUAAUACCGGAUAGGAUCUCCUGCUGCAUGGUGGGGGUUGGAAAGUCUCGGCGGUUGGGGAUGGACUCGCGGCUUACCAGCUUGUUGGUUGGGUAGUGGCUUACCAAGGCUUUGAAGGAUAGCCGGCCUGAGAGGGUGACCGGCCACAUUGGGACUGAGAUACGGCCCAGACGCCUACGGGGGGCAGCAGUGGGGAAUAUUACACAAUGGGCGGAAGCCUGAUGCAGCAACGCCGCGGGCGGGAUGACGGCCUUCGGGUUGUGAACCGCUUUCGCCUGUGACGAAGCGGGAGUGACGGUAAUGGGUAAAGAAGCACCGGCUAACUACGUG